rnacentral:rRNA from 1 species
AACCGAGAACUCCUACGGGAGGCAGCAGUGGGGAAUAUUGCACAAUGGGCGAAAGCCUGAUGCAGCGACGCCGCGUGGGGGAUGACGGCCUUCGGGUUGUAAACCCCUUUCAGUAGGGAAGAAGCGAGAGUGACGGUACCUGCAGAAGAAGCGCCGGCUAACUACGUGCCAGCAGCCGCGGUAAUACGUAGGGCGCAAGCGUUGUCCGGAAUUAUUGGGCGUAAAGAGCUUGUAGGUGGCUUGUCGCGUCUGCCGUGAAAACCCGAGGCUCAACCUCGGGCGUGCGGUGGGUACGGGCAGGCUAGAGUGUGGUAGGGGAGACUGGAACUCCUGGUGUAGCGGUGAAAUGCGCAGAUAUCAGGAAGAACACCGAUGGCGAAGGCAGGUCUCUGGGCCAUUACUGACACUGAGAAGCGAAAGCAUGGGUAGCGAACAGGAUUAGAUACCCUGGUAGUCCGACUGAGA